rnacentral:rRNA from 1 species
AGAACGAACGCUGGCGGCAGGCUUAACACAUGCAAGUCGAGCGCCUCGCAAGAGGAGCGGCAGACGGGUGAGUAACGCGUGGGAAUCUACCCAUCCUUACGGAACAACUCCGGGGAAACUGGAGCUAAUACCGUAUACGCCCUUAGGGGGAAAGAUUUAUCGAGGAUGGAUGAGCCCGCGUUGGAUUAGCUAGUUGGUGGGGUAAAGGCCUACCAAGGCGACGAUCCAUAGCUGGUCUGAGAGGGCGACCGGCCACACUGGGACUGAGACACGGCCCAGACUCCUACGGGAGGCAGCAGUGGGGAAUAUUGCGCAAUGGGCGAAAGCCUGACGCAGCGACGCCGCGUGGGGGAUGAAGGCCUUCGGGUUGUAAACCCCUUUCAGCAGGGACGAAGCGAAAGUGACGGUACCUGCAGAAGAAGCGCCGGCUAACUACGUGCCAGCAGCCGC